rnacentral:misc_RNA from 1 species
CCAAUAGCGUAUAUUAAAGUUGUUGCAGUUAAAAAGCUCGUAGUUGAAUUUCAGGCCUGGCUGGACGGUCCGCCCUUCGGGUGAGUACUGUCUGUGGUCGGGUCCUACCUUCUGGCGAAGCGUCAUGGCCUUAACCGGCCGUUGCGGGGAACCAGGACUUUUACUGUGAAAAAAUUAGAGUGUUCAAAGCAGGCAAAUCGCUUGGAUACCUUAGCAUGGAAUAAUGGAAUAGGACAAUGGUUCUAUUUGUUGGUUUCUAGGAACGUUGUAAUGAUUAAUAGGGAUAGUUGGGGGCAUUAGUAUUCAAUUGUCAGAGGUGAAAUUCUUGGAUUUAUUGAAGACUAACUACUGCGAAAGCAUUUGCCAAGGAUGUUUUCAUUAAUCAAGAACGAAAGUUAGGGGAUCGAAGACGAUCAGAUACCGUCGUAGUCUUAACCAUAAACUAUGCCGACUAGGAAUCGGGCGAUGUUGAAAAAAUGACGCGCUCGGCACCUCAUG